rnacentral:rRNA from 1 species
CGGGGUGAGUAACGCGUGAGCAACCUUUCCUUCACAGGGGGAUAAGAUACCGAAAGGUGUUCUAAUACCGCAUGAGACCACAGAGCCACAUGGCUUAGGGGUCAAAGGAGGAAUCCGGUGAAGGGUGGGCUCGCGUCUGAUUAGCUAGUUGGUGAGGUGACGGCCCACCAAGGCGACGAUCGGUAGCCGACCUGAGAGGGUGAUCGGCCACAUUGGAACUGAGAGACGGUCCAA